UACGGAGGGUGCAAGCGUUAAUCGGAAUUACUGGGCGUAAAGGGUGCGUAGGUGGUUUGGUAAGUUAUCUGUGAAAUCCCCGGGCUCAACCUGGGCAGGUCAGAUAAGACUGCUGAACUCGAGUAUAGGAGAGGGUAGUGGAAUUUCCGGUGUAGCGGUGAAAUGCGUAGAGAUCGGAAGGAACACCAGUGGCGAAGGCGGCUACCUGGCCUGAUACUGACACUGAGGCACGAAAGCGUGGGGAGCAAACAGGAUUAGAUACCCUGGUAGUCCACGCUGUAAACGAUGUCAACUAGCUGUUGGCCUUAUGAAUGAGGUUAGUGGCGCAGCAAACGCGAUAAGUUGACCGCCUGGGGAGUACGGUCGCAAGAUUAAA
rnacentral:rRNA from 1 species